rnacentral:sRNA from 1 species
GGAGAAGAGCCUGCUAAGUGCAGUGAGGCCGGUCUCCUGCAGGAGGGAGUACAGCCAGAGGAGUUCGUGGCCAUCGCGGACUAUGCUGCCACCGAUGAGACCCAGCUCAGUUUUUUGAGAGGAGAAAAAAUUCUUAUCCUGAGACAAACCACUGCAGAUUGGUGGUGGGGUGAGCGUGCGGGCUGCUGUGGGUACAUUCCAGCAAACCAUAUGGGGAAGCACGUGGAUGAGUACGACCCCGAGGACACGUGGCAGGAUGAAGAGUACUUCGGCAGCUAUGGAACUCUGAAACUCCACUUGGAAAUGUUGGCAGACCAGCCACGAACAACUAAAUACCACAGUGUCAUCCUGCAGAAUAAAGAAUCCCUGACGGAUAAAGUCAUCCUGGACGUGGGCUGUGGGACUGGGAUCAUCAGUCUCUUCUGUGCACACUAUGCGCGGCCUAAAGCGGUGUACGCGGUGGAGGCCAGUGAGAUGGCACAGCACACGGGGCAGCUGGUCCUGCAGAAUGGCUUUGCCGACAUCAUCACCGUGUUCCAGCAGAAGGUGGAGGAUGUGGUGCUGCCUGAGAAGGUGGACGUGCUGGUGUCUGAGUGGAUGGGGACCUGCCUGCUGUUUGAGUUCAUGAUCGAGUCCAUCCUGUAUGCCCGGGAUGCCUGGCUGAAGGAGGAUGGGGUCAUUUGGCCCACCAUGGCUGCGUUGCACCUUGUGCCCUGCAGUGCUGAUAAGGAUUAUCGUAGCAAGGUGCUCUUCUGGGACAACGCGUACGAGUUCAACCUCAGCGCUCUGAAGUAAGUGUCCACAGCUGGGACUGGCACCGUCUUGUGGGGCCUCCUGGUCCACAGUCUGCAGGUGGGCCAAGGCCCUGGGAGAUCCCAUACGACGGUUGGAUGAAUGAGGGUACCUGUGCACCCAGAUAGGACAAUCUGUUGUAGCACUGGAGUAAUUAGAGCAGUAUGGUGCUAUAAACAAGAAAAGACAGAUGGGCAGAGCAGGGUAGAAUGCAAGGAACAAAAAUUUUCAUAUGUGAAAAAGGUGGCAUUACGAUCAGGAGGGAGUGAGGGCCAAGUCAGCAAAUUAUUCUGGAGCAGUUGAUUAGCCCUUGUUCUCUCACACCAUACGUGAAAACUUAAUUCUGCAUGGAAUCACCGUCAACGACAGACAUCCAUGGGGGCCUGUGUGCACCAUCUUAGGUGGAGAAAUGAGCAGCAACAAUGGAUGGAAUGGACCCUGGGCUAGAUAGAAUCUGGCAGUCUAUGUGGCAGAAAUCAGCAAAAACACGAUUGUAAAAGCAAACAAGUAAUUAG